GCAGAUAGCUCAGUCGGUAGAGCAUGAGACUCUUAAGGUCAGGACUGUAGGUUCAAGCCUCAUGUUGGGCA